ACUGCUGUAAGGGUAUAUAUAGAAAGGGAGAAAGAAAACCUAAAAAGGCCAUUUCGAGGGUUCGUAGGUCACGGCUGGUAUCGAGGUAGAACGGCAAUGCAAUAUGCCGUCCCUCCUUCCUACGUCUUGACAGCAGACGACGCUCUUACUCUUAGCCACCCUCCAGGAGUCUCAAGUUAGUUCAGGAUAUAUUGGAUUUGCCACAGUACUUACCUGACUGACAUCUUUAACGCUUUGGCUGUCAGUCCACUUCCGGAAUCGGCAACGGGAUCCUCCUGGAUAUACGUGGGUCUGAAGAGGAUGUGGCACCCAUGUGUAUCUUGAAGAAGAACCAUAUAAGGAUUUCGCGAGAAUGACCCAAGAGACUGUGAGAUCCUUGGAAGUUUUUGUUUUUAAAAUUCUUGAGCAACUUUUACGUCCAUUUUUCAACAAAGAAAACACAGAUCUCUUAUAUAAAUUCUUUAGCAGAGAGAAGACACUCCUCCUGGUCCCCGAUAUAGAACCUGUCGGAGGUCAAAGCUCUUCCCUUGGAACCCUCUGGGCCUGCGUUGACCUUUAACCUUUGACAAUAUCGUCUGACAUUUCUCACUUUAAAAAUAGCAAAUCCUCGUUCUUCCUGCUCUUCCUUCGCUCGCAUUCACGUGACAAUAUUUUUAGAGCUUCUUUUUUCGAUUUUUGAUUCUUCCACGAUUCCUCAUGAAUCUUAUCGCUGCUUCUCCACGGUACUGUCAGAGUCGAUGAACCGCGAGUCGGUAGAUACGCAUGAGUACUAUUUUUUCCAGCAUCUUCACAGACUACCCUUCUGCAAAAAAGUCAGGGAAAAGUUGGGAAGAAAAAAAACACCGGAUACUCUAAUUUUUAGUACCAAAGCAUUGCCUGUGUUUGGAGCAAUAUUUUCUAUCCUGCAGCUACCAGUCACAUAUGGAAAUAUAUGAAUGCACUGUCUAGUAUGUAUGUACAGUGCAUACGUAUAUUUAUACAUACGUACUAGGAGUACAGUGCUGCUAACUCGGAGUAAUUGGAAAUUAUUAGGCUGAAAGAACCGUUUAUCUUCGUUUAAAGAGAAACGCGACUCAGCCGAUUUUUCUUGUUUAAUUUUAUUCGAUAUCACAGCUCUUCUCUCUUUCUCUUUAAUUAAUUCCGUAACCCUGUCUCUGUCACUCACGCAUAUUCUCUAUUCUUCCUCAGUCGUACUGACGAUUGAGAUCAAACGUAACGUAUGGCGGGUUACUUGGUGACAACUCGCACUGGCAUUCAUUUGUGCUGGAAUGAGAAUUUCUCAUGGGUUAAGGGAGAGAUGAGUAUGGUCGAGAAGCAGCCCUAACAGGGAAACUCAUUACGGAAGGAAUGGUCCUAAAUAUAAUUUUGAAUUUGAAAAUUAAAGUUCCUAAGAAAUAAUCUCGUUUGCUACGUUAACGAGUAUUGUAACGAGUGUUGUAAUUAGUUGGUCGUGAGAAUCCCAACCCCUUCCCACCCCCACAGCCACCAUCCAGGGAAUUCAGCUCGUUUCCUUCUAGUCGCGACCGCAUCCACCGUUUCCUAUAGUAUUCACUGUGCUGGAGAUGGGAGAUUAAAAAUACCGGAGUCCAAAGUCGCUUAUCGCCUUCAUUGAAAGGGAGGGGAUGAAAAGAAAAAAGAAAAAAGAUGAUCGAAAUGAAACGAAGAAGGAAUGGUUGAGUCUUCGAGGCCACGGGGACGCGUUCGUCUUCUCACGUGUUACGUAACCGUAUGCAUAAUGUAUGCGCACCGUGACGUAAAGGAGGGUAGCGACCAAUAAAAAUGAAGCAGAAAGAAAAAGGGAAAGAGAGUGAGACACGUGGGGGACGUUAAGAAAACGAGAGUCAGGAGAGUCACCAUAUCCCGGCGCUGUUCAUCCUUUUCUUUUAGGCAAAUGAAAAUUCCAGAGGGUGGUGACGGUAAGAUUUUCUUCAAAGGUAUUGCUCGGCAUUGUUGUUCUGUUUCCUUUGACCUGGAAAAUGCUUUUUGGGAAUAAUGUAAAAUGCGAAAAAUGUGAGUGCGAAAAGACACGUGGUAAAACUGUCGUGAGGGUGGCAUGGAGGUAAAAUUGGUUUUCAAAAAUAUUCCCAGCACAGUGCCGAAAAUGUAAAAAAAAAAAAAGGGAAAAAUCCCUCAAAAAAAUAAUCACUAAUAUUUCACGGGUCGACCCCCCUGGGAUUUCGUGUGGCGGUGAGAAAGUGUAUUCCAAGAGAAGUAAAUAGGGACGGGGAUGAAAUUACAUAGGGUUGAUAUAAUGCAUAACAUCUCUGUAUUUAAAAUAAAUUACCCAAAGGGGUUGUAAAGA